rnacentral:rRNA from 1 species
CCCUUAGAUGUUCUGGGCCGCACGCGCGCUACACUGAUGCAUUCAACGAGUUUCUUCCUGGUCCGAGAGGAAUGGGUAACCUUUUGAAAGUGCAUCGUGAUAGGGAUAGACUAUUGCAAUUAUUGGUCUUCAACGAGGAAUUCCUAGUAGACGUGGUUCAUCAGACUGCAUCGAUUACGUCCCUGCCCUUUGUACACACCGCCCGUCGCUCCUACCGAUUGAAUGCUCAGGUGAGCCAUUCGGACUUUCAUCAUGCUGGUUUCCAGUUUUGAUGAAGGAAAGUCUUGCGAACCUUAUCAUUUAGAGGAGGGAGAAGUCGUAACA